rnacentral:rRNA from 1 species
GAGUUUGAUUAUGGCUCAGGAUGAACGCUAGCGGUGCGCCUAACACAUGCAAGUCGAGCGAUGAAGUUUUCUACACAGAGUCUAUCUCAUUAAAUAAAUUCCAAGAGAUUAUACAAGAAAAUACACAUUCCUUGUAAUCUCCCUCUCCUUCUAGGAGAGGGUUGGGGUGAGGUCUAUUCUGUGUAGAAAAUAGAUUAGCGGCAAACGGGUGCGUAACACGUUGAUACUUCCCCCUAAGUCAGGGAUAGCCUGGAGAAAUCCAGAUUAAUACCGGAUAGUCCCGUAAGGGUAAAGCAGCAAUGCGCUCAGGGAAAGGUCUGCGGCCUAUCAGCUAGUUGGUGAGGUAAUGGCUCACCAAGGCAAUGACGGGUAGCUGGUCUGAGAGGACGGCCAGCCACAAUGGGACUGAGACACGGCCCAUACUCCUACGGGAGGCAGCAGUGAGGAAUCUUCCACAAUGGGCGAAAGCCCGAUGGAGCGACACCGCGUGAAGGAUGAAGCCUUUGUUGGUGUAACUUCUUUUCUCUCGGAAGAUAAUGACGGU